GACGAACGCUGGCGGCGUGCUUAACACAUGCAAGUCGAACGGAAAGGCCCUGCUUUUGUGGGGUGCUCGAGUGGCGAACGGGUGAGUAACACGUGAGUAACCUGCCCUUGACUUUGGGAUAACUUCAGGAAACUGGGGCUAAUACCGGAUAGGAGCCCCUGCUGCAUGGUGGGGGUUGGAAAGUUUCGGCGGUUGGGGAUGGACUCGCGGCUUAUCAGCUUGUUGGUGGGGUAGUGGCUUACCAAGGCUUUGACGGGUAGCCGGCCUGAGAGGGUGACCGGCCACAUUGGGACUGAGAUACGGCCCAGACUCCUACGGGAGGCAGCAGUGGGGAAUAUUGCACAAUGGGCGGAAGCCUGAUGCAGCAACGCCGCGUGCGGGAUGACGGCCUUCGGGUUGUAAACCGCUAUCGCCUGUGACGAAGCGUGAGUGACGGUAAUGGGUAAAGAAGCACCGGCUAACUACGUG
rnacentral:rRNA from 1 species